ensembl:lncRNA
CAACGAUUUCCUGGUGACAUUUAGUGGAAUCCCAGCAGGUGAGUUUGUGCUUAUCCUGAAAGGAGAGGCCAGCAGCUCCACUUCCAGGUCCACUUCAAGCAGCUUCCAGAGACAAGCGUCCACACAGAUCAAGACCUCCAGCAUCUCUGUCACUGCUGAAGCCAAUAAUACCAACAUCGAGCCGGGCACCACUAUCUCCAUCCCCUUCACAGUCGCCGCAACUACUGAUGGAGUUAUAACUGACUCUGCAACUGAGACAUUUACAGUGCGAGUCAGCAAUGACCGCAGUUAUACUUCCACUUCACCCAGCAGUGUUACUACUGUAGCAGGCAGUGGAGGUAAAGCCACUGGCACCGUGACCCUAACAGCUCCAUCCAGUGCUGCAUCAGGAUCAGACGUGACCCUCACCAUUGAGGCAGAAAACGCCGCUGCCACCGACAUCAACUAUGUAGUUCUCAGGUUUUCUGUGACUGCUAAGGUGACAGAUGUUAACCGCCCAGUUUGCCAGGUAGUCAACACAUCAACCUGUGAUUCCACUUCAUUGCUUUGUGCUUCCUCCCAGUGGGAGUUCAUUGCCAAUUUCACUGAUGGCAUCAAUGGAACUGGCAUUGAGAGUGUAACCAUCAGCCAAGGGAAUGGUACUCUGAAUAUGAGCACAGUGGUUGAAGCAGGGGUUGAGUAUAUUACCCUGGUUACCUACACUGCCUCCUGCUGCUCACCGAUUGUGGAGCUGACUGCUGUAGAUAGUGUAGGAAAUGUGGGGACAUGUGUGGGACAGGCUAGAGUGCUUACCACACCUCCUCCUACGACAAUGACCCCUGCAACUACAACUACCCCUGCAACUACAACUAC